CGUCUAUAUACGUAUAGCAUAUCAAUAAGCGGAGGAAAAGAAACUAACAAGGAUUCCCUUAGUAACGGCGAGUGAAGCGGGAAGAGCUCAAAUUUGAAAUCUUCAAGGUUUUACCUUGACGAAUUGUAGUUUAAAGAAGUGUUUUCUGUUAGAGAGUUAGGCUAAAAGUUCCUUGGAAUAGGGACAUCAUAGAGGGUGAGAAUCCCGUAUUUGACAUUAUUCUUUCUAGCUGUGUGAUACACUUUCAAAGAGUCGGAUUGUUUGGGAAUGCAGUCCAAAAUGGGUGGUAAAUUUCAUCUAAAGCUAAAUAUUGGCGAGAGACCGAUAGCGAACAAGUACCGUGAGGGAAAGAUGAAAAGAACUUUGAAAAGAGAGUUAAACAGUAUGUGAAAUUGUCAAAAGGGAAGCGUUUGACACCAGUGCUGUUUUUCCGAAAAUCAAUUGUGCCUGGCUGGAUUUUGUAGGAGUUUGACCUUAUCAGCUUCUUCUGCUUUUUUCCUGCCUGGUGCAAUGCACUUUUCGGUUAACAAGUCAACAUCAAUUUCCUUUGUUGUAAAAGGGUAAUCGGAAGGUGGCUUUCUUUUCGGAGAAAGUGUUUAUAGCCUUUUACCUCUACAAUCGGAGAGAUUGAGGUCUGCAGCGUAGAUCCUUCGGGGUUAGAUACAUUUGUGCUAAGUUAUAGCUUUUCAUAGACAACUUGUUGACUACGUUUAGUCAUGUAGCUUACUCGCUUGUGCUAUUUUACCUACGCUUAGGAUGUUGAGUCAUCACACAUCUCU
rnacentral:rRNA from 1 species